UACGGAAUGUGCAAACGUUAUUCGGAAUCACUGGGCUUAAAGAGUCCGUAGGCGGCAUGUUAGGUGAGGUGUGAAAUCCCCCGGCUCAACCGAGGAAUUGCGCUUCAAACCGGCGUGCUUGAGGAAGAUAGAGGUGGGCGGAACUGAUGGGUGGAGCGGUGAAAUGCGUUGAUAUCAUCAGGAACACCGGGAGGCGAAAGCGGCCCACUGGGUCUUUUCUGACGCUGAGGGACGAAAGCUAGGGGAGCGAACGGG
rnacentral:rRNA from 1 species